GCUUUCUGCUCCCGAUUAAUUCUCCGCUUUAUCUUAUCACACCAGCCUCACCAACAACAUCGAUUCAAUUCCAAAGAUUCCUACAUCCGAAAAAUCACAAUCGAACGAUUCGCAAUUUUACAAAACUCCGCCCGAUUCCCGAUCUCUUCCUCGAUCAACGUGACGUGAUAAAAAACGUGUGUUACAUUUGAGAGAGAGAGAGAGAGAGAGAGAGAGAGAGAGAGAGAGAGAGAGAGAGAGAUAGAUAACGAUAGAGUCGAGAAGAACUUCGAGAAGAAAACGUGUUUGAAUGAUCGAUCGGUUUGGACGUGGACCAAAGAAAUCGUCGGAUGAUGUCGAUCGCUGGCUCGAUUCUGAUCGAGAUCCCGUUUCAACGUCGGCUCUCGAUGCCUCCCAGAAAGAUUUACGGGCCAGAGGUCGCCCGCUUCCUUCUCCGCUAUUUGACUUUUAUCAUUGUCUGCUAGUUUUCACUUGGGAAUAAUUAAAGUCGCAACGGUUUGGAUUUCGAGAUGGAAUUCAGGAUCGAUAAAUCGGUGUAAUGAUCACUGGUGCGUAAAUCCAUCGAAAUUGAUAGGAAAUGUUGCUGAGUUUUUGGCAAAAUUGUGUAAAACGUGAUUUUAUGUAACGGAGUAAUUUUAUUACGAUGAAUGAUUUAAAGAAUAAAUAUGGAUAUGUAGAAGUUGUAGAGGAAAAUAUUUGUUUAAAAGUCGAAGAAAAUUUGCCAGAUCGAAAGUAAAAUAAUCUAUAAAAAUUCAUUCGAUUCAUCUCUGAUUGAAAUUUGAGAAAGAUUUUGUUCUGAUUGAAAUUAAAAAUUAAGAUGACAAAUCUUUGAAAAUUCGAUAUAAAGCUUAUUCAAAUUUGAAUCAUUGUUGAGAUUUUAAAAACUAGAUUCUUAAAUCACAAAUUACUCCCAUAAUAAUUUAAAAUUCGAAGCACAGUUUUUAAAAAAUUAAAAUUAUAAACAAUAAUUCUUCCAAAAUUAUACAUGAAACUUAUCUGAAUAUACUUGAAUCAUGGAUGCAGAAUUUUAAAUAUUGUUCAAUUCAGAUGUUUAAAUUGAAAAACAACAAAUAUGAAUGCAUACAAAGACUAUCAUACUAAUCAAAGUAAAUUUUCAAACCUGAUAUCAACAGUUUAUAAACAAAAACAAUUCUUUAAAAAUUCCAUAAAAUAAUCACUAAAUCGUUAAAAAAAAUUCACAUCUCGAAACAAUCAAAAUUAGAGAAACAAUUUUUCCAAAAGUCCUCGUACAAUUUACACUCGAUUACUUCAUUCCGUGCACACGAUAAAAUAAUUCGACGUAACGAUUGACCGACCACGGGAUCACAAUUUCAUCGACGAUCCUCGAGUCGAUCGAUCGAGGAUCCAUUGUUAGGCAACGCGAUAUCCCGAGAUGUGCGCCACGUUUUAAUAAAGCUAGACCCAGUUGCAGAAGACGUUGUGGCCUCGAAUCCACUGGUUAAAAGUUUUCGAUACGAGAAGGGGGAUCGGGUGAUGCUUGAACCCCUCUUUUUCUCGAUCGUCUAGCCAAAUAUUUUGUUUGCUGUUUGCAAUUGCGUCGAUGGGGGGAUUCGUUAUUCCGGCAUUACGUGAUGCGUGAUUUAUUAGAGAGUUUUGAUAAGAGAAGAAAAAUUUUUUGGCAAAUAUAUCCUCCGGAUAAAAAGAAUCUGUUAAUGAUAAUUCAGAAAAUAUUGCACCUAAGAUUGUAUCAUUGUAUAUUGGAUUACAUUGUACGUUGAGUUUAGAUGGUAGAUUAUCAUAGUACAUGUUGAAAAGUCACACAUAGAAAUAUCAUAUAGCAAUAUCACACCAGUAUGGAAUAUAUGCAAAUGCAAGAGAAAUGAAGGCCUCCUAAAACUUCUGACCGAUUGAAGUAAGAAUACUUUUUAUUGAUGUUGAUCGAACAAAUUUUACUUUACCUUUAUUUAAAAGAAAAUCUAAAGCACGUUGUUUAUCUUUUGUAUCCCCCCUAAAAAGAAAUAAAUCACGUAAUCUUAGCCAGGGAUCCUAGCCAGCAUUGUGAGCAGGUGAGAUAGAUGAUUUGGCUAGUGCAGACCUAUCUACUUUUAUAAAUUAUUAGUAUACAGUAAUAAAGAAGGAAAAUUAUUAGUAUUUGAUCCCUUCAAAUCGAAUAAAAUCCUAUCCAGCUGGCCAGUAUUAUGAGUAUACAUAUAAAAAGUUUCUUUUGGUAGCUUGAAAAUUAAUAUAAGUAUAUGUUUUUUUAAAAAAUAUAUAUGUAGGCUAGUAGAAUUAAUUAAAUGAAAUAGAUCUUAAAAAUGAGCCUUUUAGUGAAAUUAUUUGAAAGCCAAAUAUCUAUUUAACUAAUAAUGGGAAUAUUGAAUAAGUAAAUAGUGAAAAUUCACAGGUUUAUUAAUAAGAUUCAUUGCGAUGAUGUUUCAGUAACUAAUGUAAGUUCUUUAACUGAGCAAUGUUUUUUAAAUUUUUUUACAAACUGUUUAUAAAAAAGUGUUUUAAAAUAUAAAUGGAAAUAUCUGAAAUAAGAUGAUGAAGAAAGAAAAAACUUUUGUAUGAUAAAUAUUAAAAGAAAAGGGGAAAAAAAAGAAUAAUAAAAUUAAAAUUAUACUUCAUAGUAUUCAAUAAUUCAAUAAUUUGAUCGUGUUUGUCUAAUUGAGAAAAUAGAAUGGAAUGUUUAUGAUAGCAAAACAAUAAUAUAGAUAGAAUAAUGAUAGAAAUAGUAGCAUAAGACAAUGUGAAUACGUUCGCAAUUCGAUACUGAACAACACGUUAUGAAACAUUCAAUGGAAUCUCCUUGAAGGUAUUAUUCGAUUUGAAAGGCUAAUACUGCACACUGUUCGAAUGGCGAAUAGCAAUUGCACAUCACGGUCUGGUUAGUUUAGCUUGCAGAAGCUACAAAAAAAUCCUAAAUGCAAAACGUAUUCGAUUAUAAAUAUUUAAACACGAAGAGAAAAAGGAAAGUUGAUACGAUCUUUUUAAACUUAAAAUUUCUUGAAACUUAAAAUCUUUUAAUCUACUUUAAUUUUCGAAUCUUUAAUAACGCAAAAUUUCAUAUUUUCAUUUUUUCUCUUUCAAAAAGAUUACAGAAAAAAAAAUAAUAUUCGCACAAAAUAAAAACUAUAUAAUCAAAUAUUAUUAAUUAAGCCAAAAAUCGAUGCAUAACAAUUUUCAUAGAAUUCAAAAAAAAAAAAAAAAUAAUAAAAUUCGCUCAAUUUAAUUUAAAAUAUAACAUUUUAAAACGUCCAACAAAAUUCAUAUCAAAGCAAAAUAUACAAAUAAUCAAUUUUUUAUCAUUAAUAAUAAAAAUGAAAAUUUUAAAAAACAAAAGUCAAUUAUUCCGAGAACUUCUUAAAUCUUUAUUAUUAAAUUUGAAAGAAAAUUAAUCCAAAGGAAGGAAAUUUUACGCUCGAUAAAACAAAGUUAACCGAGUAUUUAAAAUUUGCGCGUAGCAAAUAUCAAGAUUAUUCGACCAAUUGUUACAUGCGAGUUUACUCAGCGGUCGCACAAAGCGAUUAUUUAUACAGGGGCGCAUUAAUUUUCUCGACGGAAAUUAUCUUUGCCUGUGAGCUCAUCGUAAAUGCAUUUCUAAUUGUCUCCCUCGUUGCAACUUCAUCGUGGAAUCUAUAUCUUGCUAUAUGACGUUUAAAUUAUACAUACCACACCUCUCCAGAUGCGUACGUAGAGGCUGAAGUAACUGUUAUUCACGGGUUCAAAAUAAACUCCCUAUAUCUUAAAGCUUUUGCAAAUUUUGAAGAAAAUUUGAUAAAAAAGAGAAUGGCCCAUGGAAUUAGAAUUGAAAUUUAAUUUAAGUAUUUGGAAUAAUAAAUAUAUGAAAAAUUUGAUUUUAUUAAAAUCAUUUUAAAAAAAUAAUAAAGGAUAACGAAGAAACUAAUAAAUCUCUCUACCCUCUAUGAUAAUAUAUUAUCAUAUCAUGUCAUAUGACACCAUGGUACUAAAAUUUAAUAAAAAUAGAUAUAAAUAAUUCUUAAAAAUUUUAAGAAAUAUAUUAUAAAUUAAGAAUAAAUUAUAUAAAUAUUUAAAUUAAGACUUUUUUGCGUUUAAUCGAAGUUAGAUAACUUAACUUAUAAAUAUAAAUUAAUAAUUGUAAAAUAGAUUGUAAAAGAAAACUCUCGUCUCGAAUCUAAUCGAUUUAUUAACUAAAAUCUUUUAUUUGUAAGUGAUACAUCACAUAAUUAAUUGAUAAUUAUUAUAAUUUAAAUAAAUUUAUUUGUAAAAACGAUAAAACAAAAAAAAAAUAAAAAAAAAUAAAUGAUAUUGUUAAAAUACUAUAAAAUACUAUACUAUACUUAAAAUAAUAUUUGAAGAAUUGUAAUUAAAAAUGUAAUUAAAAAUAAGUUAUACAUUAAAAAAUAGUUUUAUAAUCUUAAUAAUAAUUGCUAUUAACAAUUGAGAGUACAACAAUGAAUAAUAUUUGAAGAUAAGAAAAAUUAUUGAAGAAGAUAAAAAAUUCAU